rnacentral:lncRNA from 1 species
UUCAUUUCAAAUGAUUCUACAACAUUUCCCCAAGGUCUACAACCUUAACUCAUUAAAUACCUUAAAUAAUUAAAAAGGUUUACAUAAUCAACCUAUUUAAGGUAACAUAAUAGUUAAUCGCAUAAUAAGCUAUUCUUGAAAUUUAUCCAUGUCUCUGUCUUUCCUCGAGCCUUCGUCUUAAUCUGAAAAUGUUAUCAUGAUAUAGCAAGAGUGAGCAACUACUUUGCCCAACAAGUUUAAAUAUAAGAAAGAUAUAUCAUGAUUGAAAAGGAAUAAGCUUUCAAGUUUUCAACAAUGUAUAAUAAUUGUGAAAGAACAUGAAUCAAAUUUCAAUAAUUGAAUAACUAAAUCAAUAAUGUUGGGUGGUCAACAAUGACCAUGAAUAAAUUUAACUGAACUUUACGGUAAGCCUUUCAUACCUGCUGAAUAUAUGCAACAUGCACUAAGUGCGAAUCAAUAAUAAAAAAAUAUGGAAUAAUUGUCAAUAAUUAAUCCACUAGCAUGCUUGAAAUAUAAUAAUUCGAGUUUGAGUUAGGAGACUUGCAUUGUCCUUCAAUUACAGCUACACAAUCUAAUUUAAUCUCUUAUGAAAGACCUAUCAUAUAUAAGAUUGAUCUCUCAAUCAGCAUAUCAUAUCAUAUCUUAUAAUACCACUAUUUUAAAAAUAAAUCAUCUAACAUUUAACCACAUAAUUAAAUAUUAGACAACACCUUAAAUAAUUAGUACUAUAUAUUAUCGUCAUUUGAUCAUAUUUCAAUCACUUUAUCAUCAUCUUAAUCUUCUGUCUCAUAUUAUUAAUCACUUAAUAAUAUCUUAUUCACUUCUUCAUAUUAUUAACUAUUUAAUAAUAUUCAAACCAUUUACGAAUAUUAUUAAUCCUUUAAUAAUAUUUCAUAUCACUUACUAAUAUUAUUAAUCAUAUAAUAAUAUUCAAAUCAUUUACUAAUAUUAUUAAUCAUUUAAUAAUAUUCAAAUCAUAUACUAAUAUUAUUAAUUAUUUAAUAAUAUUUUAAUUUAACUUUAAUAUAGUAUUAUUAAUCAUUUAACAAUAUUUUAAUAUAAUAUUAUUAAUUACUUAAUAAUAUUUUAAUAUAAUAUUAUUAAUCUUUUAAUAAUAUUUUAAUAAUUUAUUAUACUUAUAAACAAUUUAAUUAAUUGUUUAUCCUUUACUAUAUCAUUUAUUUAACAAACUUAAAAUGCCAUAAAUAUAAAAUUUUAUCAAAAAUGACCAAAAUACCCUUUAAAAAUCUGAUCUUACCAUAUUAAGGGUAUUUAAGUCAUAAAUUCACAUUUUCACCAUUUCCAACAUCAUUUAACUUAAUGUAUACAUAACCCAAACAUUUACAUGAAAAAUACCAAAACAUAUUCGAAAUUUUUUCUUUUUUUGGAAAUAUCAGUAUAUGGUUCCCUUAUGAACAUAUAUUUUUUUUGAAUUUUCUAAUUUGUGUUUACUAUUUUUAAAUGGUCCAAAACAGCCGGAUUUUGAAAUAUUUUUAAUAAAUCGAAACUUUGUCCAAAACUUCUGAAACUUCUAGGGUAUGUUCUGGUUAUGUACAUGUACUUCUUGUAAAAAUUUCACAUUAUUUAGAGUUACACACUAAGAGUUAUUCAAGUUUACUUUUAAAGUAGUCCUUUCUUAUAAACUCCAUAACUCUCAUUCUACACGUCCAAAAAUUCUUAUUUUUGGACAUGACCUAGUUAGCUUUAUAUACUAUCAUACCACAAAAGACCAAAAUUUUUAGAAUAUCAAAAGUGGCCGAAAAAGCCUUCACCAAAAAUGACCAGGAACUCCUUUGAUUUUUUUACAAAUAUUUGUCGGCAAAGAAUGUUUUACGAAAAAUGAUACCACGGUUGAUCCGUUUAAUAUUUUUGAGUGCUACCACUUGAAUUCAUCAGAUAACUCAUGUAUCUAACUCACCUCUUUGACGGAUCUCAAAAAUAAAUUUUAGAUUUCACAUGGUGAAACCUCAUAGUGGACUGAAAAUUCAAGUUUUUAAGGGUAAAAACAGUUUUUUUGUACACCUUUAAUUUCCAAGCUUUUCAUCACUUAAAAUGGUUAGAUCUAAGCAUGAAACACCUUAAAACAUAUAGCUCAAAUAUUUUAAACUUCAAGAACAUAAACCCUUUAGUUCAUUAAAAACAACCCAAAUAAAAGGAAUAAACAAAUUUAGGGUUUUAUUUCCUUAUACCUUGAUCUUGUAGCAAUUUUUCUCUUCCUUUCAAAGUAGUGGAUGAACUUAGGUAGCAUCAAGGAUCAAAACUCUCUCCAUCUUCCUUAGGUGGCUGCCACCACUCUCCUUUCUCUCUCUCUUUCUAUU